rfam:Mus musculus chromosome 14, GRC primary reference assembly.
UGGCCCCAAAAGUGAGGCUCGAGUACAAAGGGAUCAUUGAAGACCACUGCAGUGUUUUUGGUUAGCCAAUGAAUUUUGUAUGGAAGAUGCCUUGCAUGGGAACCUGCUGCCUCAACUAGGGAUCCUGGUAAGUCUGAAGUGAUCAUUGGGACAGAUGUUGAAUAGCCAUGAAUUAUUUUUGGAAGGGUUGAAAAAUACUUUAAAGGCACAAUGGAUAAAGUUUAAAAUAUAUGAUUUGCUUGCAUGUUUUGAUUUUGUUAAAGAGAUUUGCCCAU